AAUGUCCUACUCGGAGCUAGGGUUUGUUACCUCCUUAUUUAUAAAUGGAAGAGGAGGCCACAGUUUCCUCGUGAAAGCGGCGAAAGUCGAGAGAUAAAGAGUGAGCCAUCGGUGAAAUUUAAGCAAGGAUGAGGGCCAAGUGGAAGAAGAAGCGUAUGAGAAGACUGAAGAGGAAGCGCAGAAAGAUGAGACAGAGAUCUAAGUAGAUGAGGGUUCUAGAUGCCUAGGACGCUUUCUUGGGUGAAUCUGCUGCCCUUUUCCUCUUGCUGUCUAUCUCUCUGGCAGCUCCAGAGAAUGGUGGUUGUCUGUUGUUUGAAGCUGUAUUAAUUAAUCUACUAUGUUUUAUGAAGGAGCUUAGUUUAGUUAAACUAUUACUUGUAAGGAUGUUGAUUUGUGUUUUUGGGGCAACUUGCUAGUUUUGUCCACCUAAGAUAUAUGGAGAUUAUCCUGAACCUAUUCUCUUUUAAGCUGACUUUCUUGAAAGGAUUUCUGUU